rnacentral:rRNA from 1 species
GACACGACUCUCGGCAAUGGAUAUCUCGGCUCUCGCAUCGAUGAAAACCGCACCGAAAUGCGAUACUGGUGCCAAUUGCAGAAUCCCGCGAAC